AUGGCUAAUUCUCCUAUCGUUGCUAGUACUCCCGAGCAUGAAGUUCUCAAUUUUAAACAAAGGGAGGGAGAAAAUUUAAAAGAUGCUUGGUAUAGAAUUUGCAAUGCUCAGAAUAGAUCCUCUAGGAAGCUAUCCACUUCCGUUCUUCUUCGCAAUUUUUAUGUAGGCAUCACUCCUUGGAAUAGAUAUAUUCUUGAUACCAUUACCGGAGGGAAUUUCUUGGGUAGCCAUACUUUUGAUUCUUAUAAUGCUAUGACAGAUUUGUUUGGCCCACCACCUCUCUUGGUUAAUGGAACUAUUUUAACUUUGGAACAUGUGAUGCAAAGGCUUGAAAUUAUCGAAAAUAAAGUUGCCUAUGUGGAGUUGAUUGAAAAUUUGGAUAAAAAGAUACACAACCAAGUCACUCAAUAUGGAUCUAAGGUAGGAGCUACUCUGAAUUUUUUUAAAGAAAAAGAACCUACAGUUAACGAAAGAAUAAAUCUAGAUUCCACAAGGAUUGGUAAACUUGAGGAUAUUAUUACUAAUUAG
rnacentral:rRNA from 1 species